CCUACGGGUGGCAGCAGUGAGGAAUAUUGGUCAAUGGGCGCUAGCCUGAACCAGCCAAGCAGCGUGAAGGAUGACUGCCCUAUGGGUUGUAAACUUCUUUUAUAUGGGAAUAAAGUGCAGUAUUUAUACUGCUUUGCAUGUACCUUAAGAAUAAGGAUCGGCUAACGCCGUGCCAGCAGCCGCGGUAAUACGGAGGAUCCGAGCGUUAUCAGGAUUGAUUGGGUUUAAGGGGAGCGUAGGCGGGUUGUAAAGUCGGUUGUAAAAGUUUGCGGCUCAACCGUAAAGUUGCAGUUGAUACUGGCAUCCUUGAGUACAGUAGAGGUAGGCGGAAUUCGUGGUGUAGCGGUGAAAUGCUUAGAUAUCACGAAGAACUCCGAUUGCGAAGGCAGCCUGCUGGACUGUAACUGACGCUGAUGCUCGAAAGUGUGGGUAUCAAACAGGAUUAGAUACCCUGGUAGUC
rnacentral:rRNA from 1 species